rnacentral:lncRNA from 1 species
GCACCGCCUGGUUAGGUCCUAGCUUUUUAUACUUUAACAAUAAUAAUGUGGAUAGUUAAGAAAUUGAUUGACACAUACAAACUUAUGUAUAUUUAACUUAACUAAGGUUGAAUUGAUUGAUGUUUUAUUGAAAUAUGAGUGAGUAAUGUGUAAAUAAACCAACUUAAUAUCCAACGGUAUUUGCAUGGAUCUUUAUUCUAGUUGAAGGCAUAGUUUACUAAUUAUCAUUCUGAUUACAAGUUGUUGAGCAUUGUUGCACCAAGUUUUCCGCAAUAGCUUCCACAAUCAAUGCUCCACCUUCCUUGGCUUCUGGCACAUCUGGGAGCAAAUAUUACAAACUUAUAAUGUUUAGUGCCUAGUUUGAUAUAUGAUUGAGCGUUACUAAAUAAUAUAGAAACCCAAUCUUGGAUGUACGUUGAGAAUUGUCAGUAAGAAGAGUAGCUAGACAUCCAAGAUUGCAUAACUUGUUGUUGAUGUCAUUGUUAAUAGGAGGAUUGAAAACUAUACAAUUAACUCCACACUUACCAAUACAAGUAAGAUCAAUGAAACAAAUCCUUACACACCUCACUAGACAUUGUCCUUACACACCUCACUAGACAUUGUUGAGAACUUACAUUGGAUUGACCCACGAUCAUCCUCAUCACUGCCAACAUCAUUAUUGUCAUCCUUACUCUCCCACCUACCAUUUGUCUCUCUUUGAUAUAUGAUAAAUAAACUCUUUCCGUUUUGUUUCUUUCUUUGUUUUGAAUUGCUGGUGAUGAGUU